GACGAACGCUGGCGGCGUGCUUAACACAUGCAAGUCGAACGGAAAGGCCCUGCUUUUGUGGGGUGCUCGAGUGGCGAACGGGUGAGUAACACGUGAGUAACCUGCCCUUGACUUUGGGAUAACUUCAGGAAACUGGGGCUAAUACCGGAUAGGAGCUCCUGCUGCAUGGUGGGGGUUGGAAAGUUUCGGCGGUUGGGGAUGGACUCGCGGCUUAUCAGCUUGUUGGUGGGGUAGUGGCUUACCAAGGCUUUGACGGGUAGCCGGCCUGAGAGGGUGACCGGCCACAUUGGGACUGAGAUACGGCCCAGACUCCUACGGGAGGCAGCAGUGGGGAAUAUUGCACAAUGGGCGGAAGCCUGAUGCAGCAACGCCGCGUGCGGGAUGACGGCCUUCGGGUUGUAAACCGCCUUCGCCUGUGACGAAGCGUGAGUGACGGUAAUGGGUAAAGAAGCACCGGCGAACUACGU
rnacentral:rRNA from 1 species